AGAUAUAUAGUUUAAAUAAAACAUUAAUUUUGUAAAUUAAAAUUAAAUAAAAUUUUAUAUCUA
rnacentral:tRNA from 1 species